rnacentral:rRNA from 1 species
UACUAAGAACUUUCCAGAGAUGGAUUGGUGCCUUCGGGAACUUAGAUACAGGUGCUGCAUGGCUGUCGUCAGCUCGUGUCGUGAGAUGUUGGGUUAAGUCCCGCAACGAGCGCAACCCUUUCCUUAUUUGCCAGCGGGUCAUGCCGGGAACUUUAAGGAUACUGCCAGUGACAAACUGGAGGAAGGCGGGGACGACGUCAAGUCAUCAUGGCCCUUACGGCCAGGGCUACACACGUGCUACAAUGGUCGGUACAAAGGGUUGCUACCUCGCGAGAGGAUGCUAAUCUCAAAAAGCCGAUCGUAGUCCGGAUCGCAGUCUGCAACUCGACUGCGUGAAGUCGGAAUCGCUAGUAAUCGCGGAUCAGAAUGCCGCGGUGAAUACGUUCCCGGGCCUUGUACACACCGCCCGUCACACCAUGGGAGUUUGUUGCACCAGAAGUAGGUAGUCUAACCGCAAGGAGGACGCUUACCACGGUGUGGCCGAUGACUGGGGUGAAGUCGUAACAAGGUAGGCGUAGAUGA